rnacentral:rRNA from 1 species
CAGCCCCUCGAGUGGUGGGGAUGAUUAUUUGGCCUAAAGCGUCCGUAGCCGGCCGAGCAAGUCUUCCGUUAAAUCCAGCGUCUCAAGCGUUGGACCGCGGGAGAUACUACACGGCUAGAGAGUGGGAGAGGUCAGCGGUAUUCUGGGGGUAGGGGCGAAAUCCUUUGAUCCCCGGAGGACCACCAGUGGCGAAGGCUGCUGACUAGAACACGUCUGACGGUCAGGGACGAAAGCUGGGGUAGCGAACCGGAUUAGAUACCCGAGUAGUC